CGAUAAGCGUCGGUGAGGUGAUAUGAACCGUUAUAACCGGCGAUUUCCGAAUGGGGAAACCCAGUGUGUUUCGACACACUAUCAUUAACUGAAUCCAUAGGUUAAUGAGGCGAACCGGGGGAACUGAAACAUCUAAGUACCCCGAGGAAAAGAAAUCAACCGAGAUUCCCCCAGUAGCGGCGAGCGAACGGGGAGGAGCCCAGAGCCUGAAUCAGUGUGUGUGUUAGUGGAAGCGUCUGGAAAGGCGUGCGAUACAGGGUGACAGCCCCGUACACAAAAAUGCACAUAUUGUGAGCUCGAUGAGUAGGGCGGGACACGUGGUAUCCUGUCUGAAUAUGGGGGGACCAUCCUCCAAGGCUAAAUACUCCUGACUGACCGAUAGUGAACCAGUACCGUGAGGGAAAGGCGAAAAGAACCCCGGCGAGGGGAGUGAAAAAGAACCUGAAACCGUGUACGUACAAGCAGUGGGAGCCUCUUAAUGGGGUGACUGCGUACCUUUUGUAUAAUGGGUCAGCGACUUAUAUUCUGUAGCAAGGUUAACCGAAUAGGGGAGCCGAAGGGAAACCGAGUCUUAACUGGGCGUUAAGUUGCAGGGUAUAGACCCGAAACCCGGUGAUCUAGCCAUGGGCAGGUUGAAGGUUGGGUAACACUAACUGGAGGACCGAACCGACUAAUGUUGAAAAAUUAGCGGAUGACUUGUGGCUGGGGGUGAAAGGCCAAUCAAACCGGGAGAUAGCUGGUUCUCCCCGAAAGCUAUUUAGGUAGCGCCUCGUGAAUUCAUCUCCGGGGGUAGAGCACUGUUUCGGCAAGGGGGUCAUCCCGACUUACCAACCCGAUGCAAACUGCGAAUACCGGAGAAUGUUAUCACGGGAGACACACGGCGGGUGCUAACGUCCGUCGUGAAGAGGGAAACAACCCAGACCGCCAGCUAAGGUCCCAAAGUCAUGGUUAAGUGGGAAACGAUGUGGGAAGGCCCAGACAGCCAGGAUGUUGGCUUAGAAGCAGCCAUCAUUUAAAGAAAGCGUAAUAGCUCACUGGUCGAGUCGGCCUGCGCGGAAGAUGUAACGGGGCUAAACCAUGCACCGAAGCUGCGGCAGCGACACUAUGUGUUGUUGGGUAGGGGAGCGUUCUGUAAGCCUGUGAAGGUGGCCUGUGAGGGUUGCUGGAGGUAUCAGAAGUGCGAAUGCUGACAUAAGUAACGAUAAAGCGGGUGAAAAGCCCGCUCGCCGGAAGACCAAGGGUUCCUGUCCAACGUUAAUCGGGGCAGGGUGAGUCGACCCCUAAGGCGAGGCCGAAAGGCGUAGUCGAUGGGAAACAGGUUAAUAUUCCUGUACUUGGUGUUACUGCGAAGGGGGGACGGAGAAGGCUAUGUUGGCCGGGCGACGGUUGUCCCGGUUUAAGCGUGUAGGCUGGUUUUCCAGGCAAAUCCGGAAAACCAAGGCUGAGGCGUGAUGA
rnacentral:rRNA from 1 species